GGACACGACGAUCGACGGUCUCCAGUAGCAGUAGUUGCUUGAGCGGGUUGUAAUGCUUCAUCGGUAAAUGGAGACCAUGAUGUGAUUCCGUCAUAAACUGCACGCACUUUUCUUUAAUGCAAAUUUUCGUGUUCUUCCUUGAUAGACCAUUCUACUUCUAUCUUUGCCAUCGAACACCACACCGGACAGUAAGAACGAAGAAGAAAUGGUAAAACACCAACCCAACACACACAUACACACACAGCUUCGUCUAAGAAACACGCAAUCUUUUCGGACCCAGCCUGCUGUAGGAAUUGCUGCCCGUCUCCCGGACACGUU